rnacentral:rRNA from 1 species
AGAGUUUGAUCCUGGCUCAGCCUGAACGCUGGCGGCGUGGCUAAGACAUGCAAGUCGUACGGGUGUAGCAAUACACCAGUGGCGGACGGGUGAGUAAUGUAUCGCUAAUGUACCCCUGACACUGGGAUAGCCGUGGGAAACUACGGGUAAUACCAGAUGACAUAACCGGACCGCAUGGUUUGGUUCUCAAAGGAGCAAUACGGUUAGGGAGCAGGCGAUAUCGUAUCAGCUAGUUGGUGAGGUAACGGCUCACCAAGGCGACGACGCGUAGCUGGUCUGAGAGGACGGCCAGCCACAUUGGGACUGAGACACUGCCCAGACUCCUACGGGGGGCUGCAGUAACGAAUCUUCCGCAAUGCACGCAAGUGUGACGGAGCGACGCCGCGUGGAGGUUAAGUCCUUCGGGAUGUAAACUCCUGUCAGGGGUUACCAAGAACUGAGGAGCCCCAGAGGAAGGCACGGCUAACUCUGUGCCAGCAGCCGCGGUAAUACAGAGGUGCCAAGCGUUAGGCGGAAUCACUGGGCUUAAAGCGCGUGUAGGUGGACGGGUAAGUAUCUUGUGAAAUCCCACGGCUCAACCGUGGAACUGCUGGAUAUACUGCUUGUCUUGAGGCACUUAGGGGCAGCCUGGAACAAAUGGUCGGAGCGGCUGAAAUGCGUAAUAUCAUUUGGGAACGCCAAAGGCGAAAGCAGGCUGCCUGGGAGCGAUCUGACACUGAGACGCGAAAGCCCAGGGGAGCA